rnacentral:rRNA from 1 species
AUUGAACGCUGGCGGCAUGCCUUACACAUGCAAGUCGAACGGCAGCACAGUAAGAUCCUCCUCGUACCGAUGGCGGGAGGCGGGCGGGUUACAAAUGCAUAGGUACCGUCUUUUUCGUGGGGGAUAACGUAGGCAAAUUUAUACUACUACCGAAUACCACCUACGGGUGAAAGCAGUUGAGCUUCGGACCUUUCGCGUUUGAAGAAGCCGAUGUCGGAUUAGCUAGUUGGCGGGGUAAAGGCCCACCAAGGCGACGAUCCGUAGCUGGUCUGAGAGGAUGACCAGCCACACUGGAACUGAGACACGGUCCAGACUCCUACGGGAGGCAGCAGUGGGGAAUAUUGGACAAUGGGCGAAAGCCUGAUCCAGCAAUGCCGCGUGUGUGAAGAAGGCCUUCGGGUUGUAAAGCACUUUUGUUGGGAAAGAAAAGCUGGGGGUUAAUACCGCGGUGUUCUGACGGUACCGAAAGAAUAAGCACCGGCUAACUACGUG